AACGAACGCUGGCGGCAUGCCUAACACAUGCAAGUCGAACGAGACCUUCGGGUCUAGUGGCUCACGGGUGCGUAACGCGUGGGAAUCUGCCCGUGGGUUCGGAAUAACAGUGAGAAAUUACUGCUAAUACCGGAUGAUGUCUUCGGACCAAAGAUUUAUCGCCCAGGGAUGAGCCCGCGUAGGUUUAGCUGGUUGGGGGGGUAAUGGCCUACCAAGGCGACGAUCCUUAGCUGGUCUGAGAGGAUGAUCCGCCACACUGGGACUGGGACACGGCCGAGACUCCUACGGGAGGCAGGAGAGGGGAAUAUAGGCAAAUGGGCGCAAGCCUGAUCCAGCAAUGCCGCGUGAGUGAUGAAGGCCUUAGGGUUGUAAAGCUCUUUUACCCGGGAUGAUAAUGACAGUACCGGGAGAAUAAGCUCCGGCUAACUCCGUG
rnacentral:rRNA from 1 species